rnacentral:rRNA from 1 species
CCUACGGGUGGCAGCAGUCGAGAAUCAUUCACAAUGGGGGAAACCCUGAUGGUGCGACGCCGCGUGGGGGAAUGAAGGUCUUCGGAUUGUAAACCCCUGUCAUGUGGGAGCAAAUUAAAAAGAUAGUACCACAAGAGGAAGAGACGGCUAACUCUGUGCCAGCAGCCGCGGUAAUACAGAGGUCUCAAGCGUUGUUCGGAAUCACUGGGCGUAAAGCGUGCGUAGGCUGUUUCGUAAGUCGUGUGUGAAAGGCGCGGGCUCAACCCGCGGACGGCACAUGAUACUGCGAGACUAGAGUAAGGGAGGGGGAGCCGGAAUUCUCGGUGUAGCAGUGAAAUGCGUAGAUAUCGAGAGGAACACUCGUGGCGAAGGCGGGUUCCUGGACAUUAACUGACGCUGAGGCACGAAGGCCAGGGGAGCGAAAGGGAUUAGAUACCCGGGUAGUC